rnacentral:rRNA from 1 species
AGAGUUUGAUCCUGGCUCAGGACGAACGCUUUUUGCGUGCCUAAUACAUGCUAGUCGAGCGAGCUUGCCUAGAUGAUUUUAGUGCUUGGACUAGAUGAAACUAGAUACAAGCGAGCGGCGGACGGGUGGGUAACACGUGGGUAACCUGCCCAAGAGACUGGGAUAACACCUGGAAACAGAUGCUAAUACCGGAUAACAACACUAGACGCAUGUCUAGAGUUCGAAAGAUGGUUCUGCUAUCACUCUUGGAUGGACCUGCGGUGCAUUAGCUAGUUGGUAAGGUAACGGCUUGCCAAGGCAAUGAUGCAUAGCCGAGUUGAGAGACUGAUCGGCCACAUUGGGACUUAGACACGGCCCAAACUCCUACGGGAGGCAGCAGUAGGGAAUCUUCCACAAUGGACGAAAGUCUGAUGGAGCAACGCCGCGUGAGUGAAGAAGGGUUUCGGCUCGUAAAGCUCUGUUGGUAGUGAAGAAAGAUAGAGGUAGUAACUGGCCUUUAUUUGACGGUAAUUACUUAGAAAGUCACGGCUUACUACGUGCCAGCAGCCGCGGUAAUACGUAGGUGGCAAGCGUUGUCCGGAUUUAUUGGGCGUAAAGCGAGUGCAGGCGGUUCAAUAAGUCUGAUGUGAAAGCCUUCGGCUCAACCGGAGAAUUGCAUCAGAAACUGUUGAACUUGAGUGCAGAAGAGGAGAGUGGAACUCCAUGUGUAGCGGUGGAAUGCGUAGAUAUAUGGAAGAACACCAGUGGCGAAGGCGGCUCUCUGGUCUGCAACUGACGCUGAGGCUCGAAAGCAUGGGUAGCGAACAGGAUUAGAUACCCUGGUAGUCCAUGCCGUAAACGAUGA